GACGAACGCUGGCGGCGUGCUUAACACAUGCAAGUCGAACGGAAAGGCCCUGCUUUUGUGGGGUGCUCGAGUGGCGAACGGGUGAGUAACACGUGAGUAACCUGCCCUUGACUUUGGGAUAACUUCAGGAAACUGGGGCUAAUCCCGGAUAGGAGCUCCUGCUGCAUGGUGGGGGUUGGAAAGUUUCGGCGGUUGGGGAUGGACUCGCGGCUUAUCAGUUUGUUGGUGGGGUAGUGGCUUACCAAGGCUUUGACGGGUAGCCGGCCUGAGAGGGUGACCGGCCACAUUGGGACUGAGAUACGGCCCAGACUCCUACGGGAGGCAGCAGGGGGGAAUAUUGCACAAUGGGCGGAAGCCUGAUGCAGCAACGCCGCGUGCGGGAUGACGGCCUUCGGGUUGUAAACCGCUUUCGCCUGUGACGAAGCGUGAGUGACGGUAAUGGGUAAAGAAGCACCGGCUAACUACGUG
rnacentral:rRNA from 1 species